rnacentral:tRNA from 1 species
CGAUCCACCCAGGGGUCGAACCUGGAACCUCCUGAUUCGUAGUCAGACGCUCUGCCAUUGAGCCAGCGGACC